rnacentral:rRNA from 1 species
AUUGAACGCUGGCGGCAGGCUUAACACAUGCAAGUCGAGCGAGCGGCGGACGGGUGAGUAAUGGCUGGGAAACUGCCUGAUGGAGGGGGAUAACUACUGGAAACGGUAGCUAAUACGGCAUACCAUCCGAUGCGCCCGGAUGGGAGUAGCCAGUAGGUGGGGGAAUGGCUCACCUAGGCGACGAUCCCUAGCUGUUCUGAGAGGAUGACCAGCCACACUGGAACUGGGAAACGGUCCAGAGGCCUACGUGAGGCAGCAGUGGGUAAUAUUGCACAAUGGGCGCAAGCCUGAUGCAGCCAUGCCUCGGGUGUGAAGAAGGCCUUCGGGGUGUAAAGCGCUUUCAGCGAGGAGGCGUUACUCGCAGAAGAAGCACCGGCUAACUCCGUGCCAGCAGCCGCGGUAAUUC